GUGCGUGGGGUGGGUGGUGCGAUCCCAGCUUCUAGAAUUCCUUCUGUAUGCAGAGCGAGCAAACUCCAUACCCCAAAACGUCUUUUGAAAAAAAGACAACUCGCCGCUUCCCCACCAAACAAUCACCCAGUAACCUAGGAGUUCUCUGUAGAACGUGUCGGACACGGUCAUGGUUUACCUAACACUGUAAAGAGAACGUUCAAUGAAAUACAAAGAAAAAGAUGAUUUUUUUGCUCCAAGAGAAUUAUUCCAGCCUUGGGGUGGAGUGGGUGUGGACAGUGAGCAGAAAAACAAGAAACCAAGUUCUGGGAGGAAAUAAAAUGAAUAUAAUCAGUGGAAAAUUCAGCAACGCAAUAUUGUGUGACAACAGUAAAUGACCAAUUUAUAAUUUAAAUUCUAUGAAAAAGAGAUUUAGAAGAGAGUUCUACCAAACCCACUGUUCCCUAGGGAAUAAAAUGAGUAACGCUGACUGGCAACAGUGCAUCCUGAGGGAGCCUGGAGAAACAACAGCAGCCUCCGACCUCAAGAUAUCCUGGUAGUGCUGUGACAGUGUCUUAAGUAGGGCAUGUUGAUAGAUGGAAAAGGACGGCAAACUCGAGGUGCUGAUUCAGGAAGAAGCAGAUUCCAAGAUGGAAGAGAAAAUAUCGAGAGAAAUAUGCCGAGAGAAGAAUCCAGGCAGAAUGGAAUCCAGGCAGAAUGGUGAAUGGAAGGUUCGGGUGACCAAGAGAAAGGAAGGGUGACUCAGCAAGUCUGUAGUUUCAGCUCUUGUAUAGUACGUUAUACUUGAAAAGCUGAAGCCUUUUCUCGGGGAAGAGUCAGAACGGCCUGGAGGGCUUGCUAAAGCGCUGCUGGCUGGGCCCCGCCCGCUGAAUGACUAAUGGAGACUCUGAGGGCCGGCUGGUAAUUUGAGUUUCUAACAAGCCCUGUUUCGAUGCUGGUACAGCCGAUCUAGGGAAAAUAUUGGAACAAGGAAAAAACUAAGAAGAAAUUUUAAAAAGUAAUCAAAGGCGGCCAAGUGAGGUGGCUCACGCCUGUGAUC
rnacentral:lncRNA from 1 species